CGGAGGGUGCAAGCGUUGUCCGGAUUUAUUGGGCGUAAAGAGCGCGUAGGCGGUCUGUUAAGUGUGAAGUGAAAUCUCCAGGGCUCAACCCGGAAACUGCUUCGCAUACUGGCAGACUUGAGGAAUGCAGAGGUUUGUGGAAUUCCUGGUGUAACGGUGAAAUGUGUUAAUAUCAGGAGGAACACCCAUGGCGAAGGCAGCAAACUGGGCAUUAUCUGACGCUGAGGCGCGAAAGCGUGGGUAGCAAACAGGAUUAGAUACCCUGGUAGUCCACGCCCUAAACGAUGGAUACUAGGCGUGAGAGGUAUCGACCCCUCUUGUGCCGCAGCUAACGCAUUAAGUAUCCCGCCUGGGGAGUACGGCCGCAAGGUUG
rnacentral:rRNA from 1 species